UAAGGAAUAUUGGUCAAUGGACGAAAGUCUGAACCAGCCAUGCCGCGUGGAGGAUGAAGGUCCUCUGGAUUGUAAACUUCUUUUAUCUGGGACGAAAAAGGGCUUUUCCAGGCCAACUGACGGUACCAGAUGAAUAAGCACCGGCUAACUCCGUGCCAGCAGCCGCGGUAAUACGGAGGGUGCAAGCGUUAUCCGGAUUCACUGGGUUUAAAGGGUGCGUAGGUGGAUUGGUAAGUCAGUGGUGAAAUCUCCGGGCUUAACUCGGAAACUGCCAUUGAUACUAUCAGUCUUGAAUACCGUGGAGGCCAGUAGAAUAUGUCAUGUAGCGGUGAAAUGCUUAGAUAUGACAUAGAAUACCAAUUGCGAAGGCAGCUGGCUACGCGAAUAUUGACACUCAGGCACGAAAGCGUGGGGAUCAAACAGGAUUAGAUACCCCGGUAGUCC
rnacentral:rRNA from 1 species